rnacentral:rRNA from 1 species
UACGUAGGGGGCUAGCGUUGUCCGGAUUUAUUGGGCGUAAAGAGCGUGUAGGCGGCCAGGUAGGUCUGCUGUGAAAACUCGAGGCUCAACCUCGAGACGUCGGCGGAAACCAUCUGGCUAGAGUCCGGAAGAGGAGAGUGGAAUUCCUGGUGUAGCGGUGAAAUGCGCAGAUAUCAGGAAGAACACCCGUGGCGAAGGCGGCUCUCUGGGACGGUACUGACG